UGGUAGUNCACGCCCUAAACGAUGUCGAUUAGCUGUUGGGCAGCAUGACUGCUUAGUAGCGAAGCUAACGCGUGAAAUCGACCGCCUGGGGAGUACGGUCGCAAGGUUAAAACUCAAAGGAAUUGACGGGGACCCGCACAAGCGGUGGAUGAUGUGGAUUAAUUCGAUGCAACGCGAAGAACCUUACCUGGUCUUGACAUGUACGGAAUCCUCCAGAGACGGAGGAGUGCCUUCGGGAGCCGUAACACAGGUGCUGCAUGGCUGUCGUCAGCUCGUGUCGUGAGAUGUUGGGUUAAGUCCCGCAACGAGCGCAACCCUUGUCAUUAGUUGCCAUCAUUAAGUUGGGCACUNUAAUGAGACUGCCGGUGACAAGCCGGAGGAAGGUGGGGAUGACGUCAAGUCCUCAUGGCCCUUAUGACCAGGGCUUCACACGUCAUNCAAUGGUCGGUACAGAGGGUAGCCAAGCCGCGAGGCGGAGCCAAUCUCACAAAACUGAUNGUAGUCCGGA
rnacentral:rRNA from 1 species